rnacentral:lncRNA from 1 species
AAGAAAAGAAGACCCUAGUCAAGAAGAGCAUCUACACUUAUGAGGGCAUCUUACCUACUCUAAACAAGAACAACAACAAGAAGGGGAAGAGCAAAGCAAAGCAGGCUAUUCAAGAACCAGUUUGGAUGGUCAACACUGUUGAACCUCCCAUUGACCCUGCUUUUCCUCCAUCACACCUUGAGAAGAUGGAAGACCCUACAGUACCUACCAUCGA